rnacentral:rRNA from 1 species
UCCUACGGGAGGCAGCAGUGGGGAAUAUUGGACAAUGGGGGCAACCCUGAUCCAGCGACGCCGCGUGAGCGAAGAAGUAUUUCGGUAUGUAAAGCUCUAUCAGCAGGGAAGAUAAUGACGGUACCUGACUAAGAAGCACCGGCUAAAUACGUGCCAGCAGCCGCGGUAAUACGUAUGGUGCAAGCGUUAUCCGGAUUUACUGGGUGUAAAGGGUGCGUAGGUGGAAUGGUAAGUCAGAUGUGAAAACUAUGGGCUCAACCCAUAGACUGCAUUUGAAACUGCCGAUCUAGAGUGCAGGAGAGGAAAGUGGAAUUCCUAGUGUAGCGGUGAAAUGCGUAGAUAUUAGGAGGAACACCAGUAGCGAAGGCGGCUUUCUGGACUGUUACUGACACUGAGGCACGAAAGCGUGGGGAGCAAACAGGAUUAGAUACCCUGGUAGUCC